rnacentral:ncRNA from 4 species
GAGGAAAGUCCGGACUUCACAGAGCAGGGUGAUUGCUAACAGCAAUCCGAGGUGACUCGCGGGAUAGUGCCACAGAAAACAAACCGCCAUCCUCGCGGUGGUAAGGGUGAAACGGUGCGGUAAGAGCGCACCAGCAUCCCGGGUGACCGGGAUGGCUUGGUAAACCCCACCCGAAGCAAGGUCAAGAAGGCUGCACUACAAGUGCGGCCGCGCAGGCGUUCGAGAGCUGCUCGCCCGAGCCUGCGGGUAGGCCGCUUGAGGCACCCGGCAACGGUGUGUCCAGAUGGAUGGUCGCCGCCGCGCCACCGUAGGC